rnacentral:rRNA from 1 species
UACAGAGGGUGCAAGCGUUAAUCGGAAUUACUGGGCGUAAAGCGCACGUAGGCGGUUGGUUAAGUCAGAUGUGAAAGCCCCGGGCUCAACCUGGGAAUUGCAUUUGAAACUGGCCAACUAGAGUACGUGAGAGGGGGGUAGAAUUCCAAGUGUAGCGGUGAAAUGCGUAGAGAUUUGGAGGAAUACCAGUGGCGAAGGCGGCCCCCUGGCACAACACUGACGCUCAUGCACGAAAGCGUGGGGAGCAAACAGG